CGGGGAGGAGUCUGGCCUCUUCAGCUCCUGUGUGGUGGCCUGAUAUUCAGUCUGUGAGCUGGGAGCCUGUUGGCAGGUCCCUCUUUUUAUUUUCGCUGAGAGCUUUCUUUUACUAAAUGCCACCAUCCUUACCUUUCAAGGUGUCUGCGUGCCUAAUUUUUCCUGGUUGUUAGACAAGAACCCGGAUUUUAGUUGAACUCUGGAGCAAAAAUCCUGCAUCAUUUGUGGGUGUCAUUGUGACUGGCUGCUACCUCCCCAUGAGUCUUCUAAAAUAAAACCUGCAAAUUCACAUCUUCCCCAUGCUUCCAGAGAAUGCAUAUUCUUCCUUUGAAAAAAGAAAACCAGCACUGUUCAUAAUAGCCAAGAUUUGGAAGCCACCUAAGUGUCCAUCAACAGAUGAAUGGAGAAACUGUGGUACAUAUACACAACGGAGUGCUAUUCAGCCAUAAAAAAGAAUGAUACUCUGUCAUCUGCAACAACAUGAAUGGAACUGGAGAUCAUUAUGUUGUUAAAUAAGCCAGACACAGAAAGACAAACAUCACAUAUUUUCACUUAUUUUGGGGAUAUAAAAGUCAAAACAAACUCAUGGAGAUAGAGAACAGAUAGACGGUUACCAGAGGCUAGGAGGAGGAGUGGUGGGGGGCAGUUAGUGAUGGUUAAUUGGUACAAAAAAAUGGUUAGAAAUAAUAAAUAAGACCUAGUAUUAGAUAGGACAACAGGAGGACUAUAGUCAAAAAUAAUUUAUUUGUACAUUUCAAAGUAACUAAAAGAGUGUAAUUGUAUUAUUUGUAGCACAUAGGAUAAAUGCUUGAGGUGACGGAUACCCCAUUUACCCUGAUGUGAUUAUUACACAUCGUAUGCCUGUACCAAAAGAUCUCAUGUACCUCAUAAAUACAUACACCUACUAUAUACCCACACAAAUUAAAAAUUAAAAAAAUUUAAAGAAAUUACAGUUUGUUGGUUUUGAAUAUUUGACCAAAUUUUUUACUAAGCACAGAUAGAUUGAAUAUAAUUUUAUUGUCCUUUUGACAUUAUGAUAAUGAAGGUAUCUACACAGAAGUCUGAGAUGAGAAAAAAAUGAUAUAAUAUCCACCUACUACAUAGUGGGUAGUUUAUAUACUAAAGUUAUUGUUAUGAGAAAGAAUGGCUUAGGAAUAUUAUUUAAAAUUAAUUAAGGGGUGUUAAAAAUAAAAUACCAAGUGUAAAAAUGACAAAGGCAAGAAGAAACAGUAUAUAAUGUGAGUAAAUCUUAAUCUUUCCAAGAGAGGAGACAGUACAUAAUGUCUAAAAUUGUUAAACCAUGAAAUAGAAAUAUAGUUAUUUUAUUCAUAAUUAAGGAGAUAACUACUAUAGCACGAAAUCGUGCCAAAAAUGGUUGCCUCUGGGAAAUGUGAUUAUAGAUAUUAUAAUAUUUUGGACUGUAAAAAUCUGCUUUUAAGACUGAGGAAAUACAAAUAGGACAAUAUUUAUUUGAAAUUUGUAUCCUCAGGGAGUGUAAAGAAAUUAAUGUAUCCACAAAAUAAUAAUAGCUGCUAUUUGAAAACAUAGUUUUCUUGAAAGUUAAAAUAGUAAUAGUCUUCUAAAAAUUUUGUUAGUUUUGGUUUUCUCUUUAAUCUGAGUUAUGUAGAAAAGUGCUUAUUUCAAAUUAGGUAGGCUUGUUUUAUUCCUUUUUCUGUCUUUUUUCUAUCAACUAGUGUUUUAUUGUGUUCAGAAAAUGCCAUGCAUUAAAAGACUACUUUUGAGAAUUUCUAGAGAUUUUCUUUGUUACUAAAGAGAUUUUUGUAAUUGUUACAUGGGAUUUUAAAAAGAAUGUAAAUUAUCCUUUUUGUCAAGUAUAAUGAUUUCUGAAACCUAGCUGUGUCAGAAUACUGUAUAAUACUGUAAUAGUAUGUUGUUUUUGGCUAUGUGUACUUAUUUCUUAGAGUGGUAUGUUAAAGCCUCGACCUUGUGACUUUGUUUAUUUCUCUCUCUACAUCUAAACAUUUCCAAGACAUGUUAUUUGCAAUACCAAGACCAUAACUAUUAUGUAUUUAAUCAAAAUAAAAUAUUUCGGCUCUCUAUAAUUCACCUUGAACUUUAUUUUGUUAAAUAUAAAUGUUGUUGAUUAUACAACAUUUCAUUAUCAAUCCCUAGACACAUUUCUAAUCCACUAUAAUUGUUUUAAAAUAAAAGGAGAAGGGAAGGUUGUA
rnacentral:lncRNA from 10 species